AUUGAACGCUGGCGGCAGGCCUAACACAUGCAAGUCGAACGAGUGGCGGACGGGUGAGUAAUGUCUGGGAAACCGCCGGAUGGAGGGGGAUAACUCCUGGAAACGGUAGCUAAUACCGCAUACCAUCAGAUGUGCCCAGUUGGGAUUAGGUUGUUGGUGGGGUAACGGCUCACCAGGGCGACGAGCCCUAGCUGGUCUGAGAGGAGUACCCGCCACACUGGAACUGAGAAACGGGCCAGACGUCUACGGGAGGCAGCAGUGGGGAAUAUUGCACAAUGGGCGCGAGCCUGAUGCAGCCAUGCCGCGUGUAUGAAGAAGGCCUUCGGGUUGUAAAGUACUUUCAGCGGGGAGGCGUUACCCGCAGAAGAAGCACCGGCUAACUCCGUGCCAGCAGCCGCGGUAAUUC
rnacentral:rRNA from 1 species